rnacentral:miRNA from 14 species
CCUGGUUUCACUUGGUGCAUAGA